UGGCCAGAUACGUAGCAAGUUGCUUAGCUUCCUAACCAGCAAAAAUAUAUAUAUAGUGCUGAAAUUUAAAUAACGCAUAAUUAAAUUGCUAUAAAUGUACCAAUUGAGAAACAAAUGUAUCAAAGUUUUUCGGCGAUUUAUUAUCCAAGGACAUGUUGUUUCCAUGACUACUGAAAGGGCAAGCCUCCAACAGGAAUUCAUUUGUGGCUUAUUCUGAAGGCCAAAUGUGCAAACACAGAUGUAUUUACAGACCGCAACUGUAUGCCGUGAACAAAAGAUAUUUUUUGAAAGGUUCGUUAACGUUAAAUCAACAACUUCCGACACACGCUUAUAUUCUACAGAUUUACAGGAACACAGACUAUUAUGAUACAGUCAGUCGAGGCCCUUUGAUCCUACCAGAAAAGUAUCUGAAAGGUCAAUACGAAUAUGAUGUCAAACUGCGUCUAUCUGCCUGUGAUCAUAAGCUGCAUGCUGUUAUACCUUAUUGAGCCCUCGUUUGCUUUCUGUCAGGGCAAAGCAGAUGGAAAUUACAAAGACCCUAACAAUUGCUAUGGAUAUAUAGCCUGUUCUGGUGGCAUAACGUACCAUAUGCCCUGCCCAGCAGGCCUGAAAUAUAACAAGCAAACGGAUAAGUGCGACUGGCCCGAUAAUGUGACGUGUUGAAUGAAACCAGUCAGUCGAGUUAAACAAGGAAAGACGAAAGACACGUGAUUACUUCUGAUUCAGUAGUCUUGAUCAAGGUCUCGUUUCUAUAUCGAAGCUGGAGUUAACGUUUAGGAACUGGAUAACUUCAAUAAAUGAUACUACAUUAUACUGCUUGAUGUGUUUUAUUUAACAAAUAAAGAAGCCUAAGCCGAGU